rnacentral:lncRNA from 1 species
CUUACUUCCUUUUGUGGGCGACUUCCCUUUCUCUCUUUGUCUCUUUCCUUCCAGCCUCAUGCUUUGAAAACAAAGGAUUUGGAGGUCUUUUGUAUUUUGCAAAAGCUGCAAGGGCAUCCCUGUGUUGGACAACCUAUCUGCACCUCUUUGUUUCUACCAUGACUAUGUUAUCUCAAAAAGAAGAGAAAGAUUCUGGAAGAAUGAAGAACGUUGGGAAUGCCAUCAUUAAGAGACACCCAUGGAGUGAAGGUUAUGUGAAGAGACAUGGAGAAGACAGUCGUCUACAAGCCAAGGAGAAAGGCCUGGAACGCCUCCUUCCCUCAGAGCCCCCAGAAGGAACAAUCCUGCCAACACCUUGAUUUUGGUUUUCUAGCUUCCAGCAUUGUGGGUCAAUAAAUUUCUGUCAUAUAAGCCACCCAGUUUGUGGAACUUUGUCAUAUAAGCCCUAGCAAAUUAACAUUGUCCUCUACAUAUGUAACUUCAACAAGUAUACACGAUAAGAUACCAAGCUUGGCCAGGGGACAAGGAACUUAUAUAAAAAUCAUUACCUCACCUCUAAUUUGUUGUGAAGUUUGGGCUAGGCCCUUUUGAUUUGUCUUUACUGAUGCUUUUUAGAACUCAAGAGGCAGCUUUCAGAUGCAUUAGCGACCCUGGUGAAAACUGAGUCAUGCCAAACACAUACUCCUUAAAGAAAGUUGACUACACCAAUUCAGGGGACAAAGAGAGAGACAGAAAUUUAGAUAAUGCUGAGAGUUAGCCCACCACCCUACUCAAUAGGUUUAUGCCUCAGAAUGAGUAUGAGCUGAGAGGCAGAAAUCUGUGGCUCCAAUCUGCUGUUUUCUCCUGGUCUCAGUUCUCAUGUGCCUUCAUGCAAGAGCAUCUUUCUGUGGCAAGAGUGGUUCCUGUCUAUAAAGAUGCCAUCUUAGUCCAUUUGUGUUACUAUAAAGGAAUACCUGAGGCUGAGUAAUUUAUAAAGAAGAUAUUUAUUUGGCUCUUGGUUUUGCAGGCUGUAUAAGAAGCAUGGCACCAGCAUCUGCUUCUGGUGAGGGCCUCAGGAAAUUUCCACUCACGGUAGAAGGCAAAGGGGAGCUGGCAUGUGCAGAGAUUACAUGGCAACAGAGGAAGCAAGAAAGGGGAGGGAGGUGCCAGGCUCUUUUUU